UCCACUGCUCUGUCAUUUCAUGUCUUGCUCAGACCACUGCAGCCUUAACACAGCCUUCUAGGGAAGAGUUGAAGUAGCUGAAGUGUUUAUCAGAGAGAAGUCGCUGAUCGUGUCUCCAGACACACAGAAACUGCAGAACGGCCUUUAGCAGAUACCACUGGAGACCCACAAGUCUAGAGAUGAUAGUCACAGUGCCUGAGUGCUCCAAGGGACAUAAGGGUCCAGAUUCUGCAUCCAAGUGCCCUGCUAAAUGUUGAUCAGGAGGUUACUUCCAAAGGAUAUUUAAAGGUCAGUCUCCUAUUGGCAUGUUGCUCCCAGCUCUGCUUUCUGGAUGGUUACGCCUGUGCCACUCUGAUUUAUUUUGAAGGACAUGAAGUGGAGGCCAAGGUGAAUGUGCCACAGGAGCCCUGAAGUCACUUGAAGCUGCUCAUAACCACUUGUCUAGCUCCAUAGGAGCCCUAACAUGGGUACAGUUAUCCACAGGCUAAUUGCAGUCUCCUUGGGGCUGUGAAGUGCUGGCCUAGCCUCUGUCGCACGCACCAGUUUAAAUAUAUUCUGAAGUCCUCUCCUACAACACAGAAGGUUUUUAUGGCAUUGUCAUCUUGUCUUGUUUAUCCCUCCAUGUGCCUGAUGCAUCUGUUUGUAAAUCAGGGUGUUAAAUUUUAAGGAUAAAAAGUUUAUUUCUAUUUUGUGGUCAAAAGAAACUGUGAAGAAAUCCUAUUCCUUCUACGGA
rnacentral:lncRNA from 1 species